AUUGAACGCUGGCGGCAUGCCUUACACAUGCAAGUCGAACGGUAACAGGUCUUCGGAUGCUGACGAGUGGCGAACGGGUGAGUAAUGCAUCGGAACGUGCCUAGUAGUGGGGGAUAACUACUCGAAAGAGUGGCUAAUACCGCAUGAGAUCUACGGAUGAAAGCAGGGGAUCGCAAGACCUUGUGCUACUAGAGCGGCCGAUGGCAGAUUAGGUAGUUGGUGGGAUAAAAGCUUACCAAGCCGACGAUCUGUAGCUGGUCUGAGAGGACGAUCAGCCACACUGGGACUGAGACACGGCCCAGACUCCUACGGGAGGCAGCAGUGGGGAAUUUUGGACAAUGGGCGAAAGCCUGAUCCAGCAAUGCCGCGUGCAGGAUGAAGGCCCUCGGGUUGUAAACUGCUUUUGUACGGAACGAAAAGCCCCGGGUUAAUACCCUGGGGUCAUGACGGUACCGUAAGAAUAAGCACCGGCUAACUACGUGCCAGCAGCCGCAGUAA
rnacentral:rRNA from 1 species